AGUGCGGCAGAGUUUCUUGGGAACAGACUUGGAAAUCUGUGUUGUUACUAAGGGCCCCAGGGGGAUUCUCACAACCAGAUGAGUUCAGAACUCACUGGCCCAAGACACUGACUUCUGGGGCAUGAUCUGCAGAACUAGUCGCAGGCCCAGUGCUCCAGUGAGGACAGACAUGAGCAGCACAGAGACCUGGCUGGAGUACCUGCAGUUUUUAUUCGCCUCAUUCACAAGCCUUUUUGUCCAUCAGAGAGAGAGAGAGAGAGAGAGAGAGAGAGAGACUCUGAGAACUGAGAGUUCUCCCCUGUGCUCCAAGAGGUUCUAAACCAGCAGAUCUGGAAGACUGAAAGGAUAGUUGUGAAAUUCUCGUCAAUUAAAAUCUGUCAUCUACCAUCUCUGCUUCAGGUCAGCCCUAUGCAAAAAGCAUAAGCAUUGUACACCCUUCACAUCUGUGCACAAUAAGGAUUAUGGAUGGGCUUUGUCCUUGGUGCCUGAGAAGUAAUAUGUGAGCCUUUGGAAUUUAUCAAGCAAUAGCAGUGCUUCUGCCAUUCCUGGUGGACCUUGGACCACAUUUGAUAAUUUCUCAGAGAUUGUGUACUAGAGCCGUACAAAGUCAAUGGGAAGCUCUUUCUUCAGCACAAGGUUUACUGACAAGGAAAAGAUGAACUUCAGACUGGAGGAAAGCAACAUAGAUUACAGGUUUGUUAGACUUAGGACAAUAAGAGAAACAGGAGGGUGUGCUUCCCCCUUCCCCAGCAAGAAAAGCCUUAGCCUGAUGUCCACACCUUUUGCUCAGGUCCUGGUGGACACUUGAUGUGUUGUAGAUUCUAGGAGCAAAAUCGUCAGCAUGGGGAAGGCCCACAAAAAGGCUGAGUUUCUCUGAGUCCUUAGAACAUUACACAUGUACUUGCUGACUAUAAAUUCAUGUAUCUGCUUGAUAUGCAACUUCUUGAGCUUUCCUCAGCAUCUGUAAAAGAGUCAUUUAAUUGGCUUCAGUUGUAAAACUAAAAUGAUAGAGUCUGGGGCCUUGGGUGAACUGUCCUCAUCUCUGCCUAAGCUUAAAGCUCCAACUCCCAGCAGAAGGAGUCUUGAUUUACAGUCAUGCCAUGAUGGAUUACCUGGAAACUCAACCUUCAGGCAAACUGUGAUUAACUUGACCAAAGACAUCUGGGAGAGCCAUCCAGGGCCUGAAAUUAUGAUCUCUGUGUUCCAGCCUGAAACCAAACACCACUGGAGUUGCCUUUCUCCAAAAUGCCCGUACAGGGGCCUUUGUGUGUUAUCCCAACAGGUUUCUUCUUUUCUUUCUUCUCCUUCUCCUUCUCCUUCUCCUUCUCCUUCUCCUUCUCCUUCUUCUCCUUCUCCUCCUCUUUCCCCUUCCCCUUUUCUUUGUCUUUCCCCUUCCCCUUCCCCUUUCUCUUUGUCCUCUCAGAACAGCUCAGCAAAAUACACCUCUGCAGGGGUGGUUCACAAAGAAAUGAUGACUUCCCAGCUCUGCAGAAGUUGCUUUUUAGAGAGCAGAUUUCAUCUUACUCAAAUCCUGGGAGAAAGGCAAUUAAUGCCUCAAUGAUUAGCAACUGCUGAGUAAGUAGAGUUUGCCAGGGCCAGGGACUAAUAUAAAAUUUGGCACCUGAAAAAUCAUAUGCUCACAAUUAGCUGGGUUUGUUUCUGGGUACUGUAAAUUCACAACAUGCCGUCAGAGUUCAUUUUCUGUGGCUGUUAUCAGGAGUGGAGAAGCUCAGGGGGAAGCAGUGGACUCGCAGGCACUAACACGGGCCUUCAGUGGAGCAGGGAGCUCUCCUGUGCACCAGGUGCCUGUGUUUGUGCUGGGGAAUGGAUGAUCUAGCAGUAGCUACAGAAAUAGGACUUAAAAGAAAUUAAAUAUUUUUUUAAAAAAUUAAUAAUUCCUUCCACCAAAAGAAGCCCUUCAAGAAAACAAUUUGGACUUUAAAGCUUUAGAGACAUGCCUUUUCUGGCCUUUCUACAUCUUUAGCCACCUUUCUUUAUUUUGAGAUAGGGUCUUGAUAAGCCACUAAAUUGCCAGGUUGGGCUCGAACUUAUGAUCCUCCUGCCUCAGCCUCCCAGGAUGCUGGGAUUCCAGACAUGUACCACCACACCUAAUCAUACUUAGGGUGUCUUGAGGAUACAGCAAAUAGGUGAAGUAAAAGUUCCUUAGUUUAUAAAAUCAAAUCAAUAUUUAGAAAGGGCCAGGGACAAGGAAACAUAAAAAGAUAAAAAGCAUUUGUGCCCAAGGAUUUUCCAGAAAACUCUGAAGCCUUUUCACAUUUUAAAAGACCAGCCAAACUCAUCUUUUCUGGAGAAUUUAAGCAUAAAUUAGAGGAUUACACUUAACUCUGAAGCACCGUGGAGGGCAUUAAAUGGCUUUGUAGACACUGAAAACUACUACAGUUUAAAUCCCUCAAAUGAAUUGGAAAUAUUUUCUGUUAAUGGGGAAGAACAGAUGGGUGUGGUUGGAGAAGGAUUUUCACAUGGUGGAGGAAGAGUGAGAGAGGUGUGGCGUGUACCUCCAGGAGUUGUCCUCCACUCCUGCCCUUCCACUCCCAGUACUGGAGUUGGCAGUGCAUCUCAUCCUCAGAUCUUUCUUCCAAGUUUCAGCCCCAGAAAAAGGGGAAGUCUGUUUCUUUGUGUCUGGCUGCCAUGGCUGGUUUCCUCAGCCACUCGCUGUUGAGUUGGAUUCCACCAGUGAUGUGGGGUGGGGCUGUAAGUACUCUUCAGCAUAGCCAGAAUCAAU